rnacentral:rRNA from 1 species
UCCAGCCAUACGCGUGCAGGAUGAAGCAUACGGCUGUAUAUAGAUUUGCUCCGGGAUGAAAUCGUCUGUACUAAUACCCCGGGGGUGAUGACGGUACCUGUACGAAUAAGACUCCGGCUAACUACGUUCCAGCACCCGCCGGUAAUAUAUAGGGUGCGAGCGUUAUUCGGAAUUACUUGUGCGUAAAGUGUGCGCAGGCGGGUUGUGCAAGUCAGAUGUGAAAUCCCAGGGCUUAACCUGGGAAGUGCAUUGGAGACUGCACGGCUAGAGUGCGGCAGAGGGGAGUGGAAUUCCGCGUGUAGCGGUGAAAUGCGUAGAUAUGCGGAGGAACACCGAUGGCGAAGGCAGCUCCCUGGGCCUACACUGACGCUCAGGCACGAAAGCGUGGGGAGCAAACAGGAUUAGAUACCCUGGUAGUCCACGCCCUAAACGAUGUCAACUAGUUGUUGGUCGUUCAAUGGAUCAGUAACGUAGCUAACGCGUGAAGUUGACCCCCCCGGGGGUACGGCCCCAAGGUUGAAAAACAAAAAAAUAUACGGGGGGCCCCCCAACAGGUGGAUGAUGUGGUUUAAUUUUAUGCAACGAGAAAAACCUUACCUACCCUUGACAUGCCUGGAACCCUGCAGA